UACAGAGGGUGCAAGCGUUGUUCGGAAUUAUUGGGCGUAAAGCGCGUGUAGGCGGCUUUACAAGUCGGGUGUGAAAUCCCUCGGCUCAACCGAGGAAGUGCGCCCGAAACUGCAGAGCUUGAGUACCGGAGAGGAUGGCGGAAUUCCCCAAGUAGAGGUGAAAUUCGUAGAUAUGGGGAGGAACACCGGUGGCGAAGGCGGCCAUCUGGACGGAUACUGACGCUGAGACGCGAAAGCGUGGGGAGCAAACAGG
rnacentral:rRNA from 1 species